UACAGAGACUGCAAGCGUUAUUCGGAUUCAUUGGGCGUAAAGGGUGCGUAGGUGGCGAUGUAAGUCUGGUGUGAAAUCUCGGGGCUCAACCUCGAAAUUGCAUUGGAUACUGCGUUGCUUGAGGAUUGUAGAGGAGAGUGGAAUUCACGGUGUAGCAGUGAAAUGCGUAGAUAUCGUGAGGAAGACCAGUUGCGAAGGCGACUCUCUGGCUCAUAACUGACGCUGUAGCGCGAAAGCGUGGGGAGCGAACCGG
rnacentral:rRNA from 1 species